rnacentral:rRNA from 1 species
CCCAGACUCCUACGGGAGGCAGCAGUGGGGAAUAUUGCACAAUGGGGGAAACCCUGAUGCAGCGACGCCGCGUGAGUGAAGAAGUAUUUCGGUAUGUAAAGCUCUAUCAGCAGGGAAGAAAAUGACGGUACCUGACCAAGAAGCCCCGGCUAACUACGUGCCAGCAGCCGCGGUAAUACGUAGGGGGCAAGCGUUAUCCGGAUUUACUGGGUGUAAAGGGAGCGUAGACGGUGAUGCAAGUCAGAAGUGAAAGCCCGGGGCUCAACUCCGGGACUGCUUUUGAAACUGUGUAACUGGAGUGCAGGAGAGGUAAGCGGAAUUCCUAGUGUAGCGGUGAAAUGCGUAGAUAUUAGGAGGAACACCAGUGGCGAAGGCGGCUUACUGGACUGUAACUGACGUUGAGGCUCGAAAGCGUGGGGAGCAAACAGGAUUAGAUACCCCCGUAC